CCACCUUGGGUGUGUCUGUCAGUGACAUCAAAAAAUCCCAAAAAUCAUCCUGCAACGUAAAUACUUCAUCCUAAAACUUGUUAAGCUGUUUGGUUUAUUGGCAAAACGGUAGAAUGGACCUUCUAAGUUCAAUAUUGGGAUCAAUGGAUCGACCUCCAUCAAAGCAACAAAAGGACACUAACAUUUAUGAAAAACAAAGAAAGGAUUAUGAAUGCGUGAAAAACAGGCAACGUGAGGAUUUAAAUCGAUUUCGAACGUAUGUAGAAGAACGCUUAGGGCGAUUUAUAAAGGAUGAAAAUUUGCAUAAUGUAGAGUUUCAAUCGAUGGAUAAAGUACACCGAUCCAUUGUGCAUGAUGUAUCUGAAACGGCUGGACUUACAGGAAUGAGUUUUGGAAUGCAAGGCGAACGAUAUAUUGUAGUGUACAAAAAAGAGCAUCUUCCAUGUGAAGAUGAGCUGAAUGCUCGAAAAAACGGUGAAGUCUGGACCAAAGAAACUGCUGCACAGUAUGCCGAACAACGUCGAUUAAAACAAUUGAAGCAAUUGGGUGAUACAAAUGAUUUACACAUAACGAGGGCUGAAAAGUUUAGACCAGUUUUUAGCUGCACCAAGAAAUACAUGCAACUUUUCAGUGAAGAAGUGAAAAUGGACAAUGUUCGAAAAACUGAAAUCAAUGCAUCAUAUGGAUAUGUGCCUAGUGCAAACAAAAAAGACGUACGUUCCAUUGAACAAACAAUGGCAGACAUACUAGCGAAGAAACGACUUAAAACUCACCAUGCAGAACUUGAUGAAGAGCCAUAUUCGACUGAAGUAUCAUCGGAGGCAUCAAGACACAUCCCAGGCGCCACAGAUUAAGCUUAAACGACUCAAAUCCAAUGGUAGCGGCACACGAUUCGAUCGUAGUAGCAUAUGAUUCGACCAUAGUGGAACGCGAUUCAACCGUGCUGAGGAAAUGUUCGGCUGCCCCAUCAGGACAGCACUGGAGCUGUUGCUGCCCCCAUCAUCACACUCAUUAUCUCCAUCCUCAUUUAUUUCAGUGCGAAGUGUUAUGGGCCAAUCUGAUGGUCCCCUAGAUCGCCACCGACGACACUCAUCGGGCGUAGAUCGAAGUGUGUGUGCGAUCUAUCGGGAGGUCAGCGAACGCGCGCUCGGCACGAUGCGUGAGUGCCGAUCGGGUGAGAGAGAAAGAUAUGGCGCGCGCUUGAGAAAGGUCGUGGUAACAAAGUGGUAGUAAAAUCGUUUAUGAGUAAUUAAUAAUAAACAAGGACUUUUCAAUCACAUCGUUUUUGAAGGAAGUAACGCGUUAACGUUUCUUAGCGUUCUUCGAAAGAAAACGAAAAUAUAACACGAAGUUUUCAACCUGGCGAGCUCGUUUCUACAAAAUCUUUUAAUAGAAACUCAUAGAAGUGGAUACCGGGAAAGAUUGUUCGUAGCUGUGGACGCGUUAUGUAUGACAUCACUGCGAACGAUGGACGUUUACUUCGGCGCCACAUAAGCCAAAUCAGGCGUCGUGCGGUAGCCCUUGCACCUGAGGGACAUCAGCUGCCGCUUGAUGUACUGUUAGCGGAAUGGUCUUCUUCUUCUUCCCGACCAGAGCCAAUCCAGCCGGAGAUGGAACCAAGCAUAAGCGAGCCAACAGCGUUCCACCGUCAUCGCCCGCUUAUUCAUCACUAGCAGCGACGACCCCGAUGGAUGUACCUUUCACGACAUCCAGCUCGCUACAUCCUGCCGAUCUCGACAACCGUGACGGUAGGACCGACCAAUAGAUUUGCCACGCAGGUCUUCUCGAGUAAGAAGACUUCCGCGUCGGCUCGGAGCCUAUCAACUCAUUUAGCCGGUCCACCGAGACUGCAGCCUCUUCGUACACUCGAUGCUUUCCGGGAACUGACAGCGUUCGAUGUGUAGCGAAUAUAGUCGUCUCUCUCUUUCUCUCUCUCUCGUGCAUGAUCCAUUACGAUCGGGGAUCCUACGAUAUAACGGACACUCGGGAUUUGGGUAAAAGAUUUUUUGGUAAAAGAGUUUUUAAGGCCUCCCCUAUGGCAAUCAAAGCAGCCCUGACAAGAAAAACGAGAUAGUGUGCGGUUGAUCGGUCAUGUAAUCUGUCAAAUAUUCAAAAAAUAAAGUUUGUUUACAUUUUGAACCGAACGAUAGCUCUCACGAUGUACAAAGGCGAGUGAUUUAAAAAAGCAUACAUCGGUGAUGAAAGUGUUGUGUGUAAUGUGUAAAAUAAACAGCCGAAAAAUUAUAAAUGGCGGUAGAAUCGACUUCGCACGCCUGAAAGCAGUUUAGGGUAAGUAAAGCAUAGCCAAUAAUUGUAAUAUUAAAUCAAUUAAAGCGGUGUUUUCUAUGCAGCUGUUGUGCAACCGUGUUGAGCCGGCGAACGUUCGAAAGAGGGAAGAAAGAAUGCCGGCAAUCCAACUAAACGAUGUUCGAUCAUGGAAAACAAGGUAAGUUGUAAUGAACGUAAGUAAGUAAUGAACGUAAUUCUUCCACCAGGCUUGCCAAAGUCAGCUUACUUGCAGCUUCUCCUUGUUCAACAACUGCAGUUUCAUCAGCUUCCAGUUUAGAAAUCAAUCUAGCUCGGAUGUCCGCAUCCCGUGGCGAUUGGUGUUUGUUGACCAUGGCAGCAUAUGAAGUAAAAUCAUCCGCAUCACUCUUGGCGUACUGCAGGCACUGGUAACGGGAGUGAAAAACCGACUUCUGGCGACCAAACAACUUCUUUAGUUUUGUAAUGGUCUCAUCCAGAGAGAAAUCGCGAGGAUGCUUUGGCAGAAUAGCAAAUUGGCAUUGGCUUUGGCAUCAAAGAAAACUCCUGCGUCCGGAUCGUACAGGAAAUCUUCGUACUCGAUGGUCUACUCGCUUCGUACUCGAUCGUACUCGAUGGUCUUCUCGCUUCCGCUAGCCGCCGUCGAAAAAGUUCGAUUUGCUAAAUUUUCGAUCUGGUGCUGCUGCUUCGCGACGAGAUUCGCCAACUUGCUCGUUUGGUGGUUAACUUAGAACUUAUUUAUUACUAAAGAAGGCAUAGGCUACUAUGCCUAGGAAGCGAAAUUAUGCUGAGGCAAAAUCCUACUAAUUGGUAGUCAUAGCCUACUACACAAAGCCCGCUCGCCAUUGGACGCUUGGACAAUUCCUUUUACAAGCAUUCGGUGACCAGUUUGCGAAACGUCUUGCCGCACGCCUGGUACAGGCCCUUCUUGUCCGUCCCGGCAUCGAUCGUGGACUGAUCGUUCGGGAGCGUCAGCAUCAUCACCUUCAUCUGCGGGUAGUUGUGGUACGGCGCAGUUCCGGUCGCCAUCUCGAUCGCGGUAAAGCCGAACGACUAGAAGCCGUAUCCGUGGUCCCGCUCCAUCUCCUCCGGCGCGAUCCAGCACGACGUGCCGAUAAACGUGUGGUACACCUUCUGCCGCGACAUGUCUCCAUCGGUGGCGAGCCACGCGCUCAUCCGCUAUAUUUAAGGAGCAGUCGUCGCCGGGCAGUAGGAUGGCCACCUUGAUGUCCACGUAAUGGGCAAUGCGAAAUGUGCACUCAAUUGGCAAGCGCACAACAAGAUCCAGCAAACGUUACCGACAGUCUUUGUCGCCGUGAAAAUGCUUCUAAUGCACGGGUGAGUUGGAUUUAUAACUACAAGCAUACGUUUUUUCUUUCUUUAGUUUCAGCUAAUGCCAGACGAACGAUCGAAUGACUGUUGCCUCGGAAGGGAGGUCUCAUCUCUGACUUGGAUGUGAUGGCACCGAGUCGAUUGGUCGCAGUUGGCCCUGGUGCUUUGAAUGAGGCGACAUCGGAGAAGCUGAACGCUUCGUGGACGUGUUGUGUUUAGAUUAGGAGCGGGCGUGUUGUGUGCAGAUCUCGAUCGGCGAAGUGCUGUAGUGAUAUUGUGUAGUGAUUGUGUCUAUAUGUAUGUUUUAAGUGUGAUUGCAUUAGUUUUAUGCAACUAAAUCAUGAGCACCGGUUUCUGUAUUGAAUACUUCGAAAGUAUUUGUACAAGUGUACAAAAUACAGUGUAAAUGAUGAUGAACUAGUUUCAUUUAAAGGUGUCGAACUUUGUACGUUAUAGUAGGUCAUUUGUUUUUGUGUGGUGUGUAAACAUUAAGUAAGAUUGAUCCCAGUGCUAGAGUGAAUUCUUUGCUGAAUAAAAUAGUGUACAAAUAUUGUUUUAAAAAACUGUGUGUUUUGUGUAUUUUUCGGUAGCAAAAAAAUAUCACUAAAGUGCAAAAAGGUAAGAAGGAAAUUUCUCAGCUACGAUGUUCUCCUUUUUUUUUGGCCUGAUGUAUUCGCUUCCGCAUUCUUCAUAAUGUGCAUAUAAAUGAUUGUUCCUAUGUUCCGCCAACAAUGUGUUUGAGACGAUGCAGUUGCAUAAUGUGAACAAAACGAUAAUGUGUAAAUAUGAUGAUGUAAUUUCCCUGCCUGGUUGCCUGGCUGGCUGAGUGGAUGGCAGAAUGGCUCACUGGCUGGUUAGUGCUGACUAAAAUCGGAUGCGCUUGGCCCCUCGCCAGAGUGCCGGGUGCAUCAUACAUUGGUGUUCCGUUGCUAGUGCUCGGCUGAGCAGAUAUUUUGUAAUAUUUUAUCAUCGAAAACCCUCACCACUCAUUUCUUUCCUUUUUAUAAAUUGAAGUACAUAAAUCGGUCUAUCCGUUUAUAUCGGUUUCAUAAGCCUCUUCAAUCGUUCAAUGGUCAAUCAAUCAUGGUCAACACUCUUACACUUCUGACGAACGAAUGCCUGGUCGCUAGCUGCAGCUUCCCAUCGAUGUAGGCACUCGAUCUUCGAGGUUUUACUUCACCUGAUCUAGCCAUCGAAGCUGUGCUUCCUUGCUUCUAGUACCGAACUGAGUGCCGCUUUCGAACACCUUGCUGUUGGGGCACGAGUCUGGCAUCUUUACAACAUGUCCCAGCCACCGCAAACAGCCAUGUCCGAUGCGCCAUACGGCUUCAGUAAGCUCGUGGUUGAUCAUUCGCAUCCACACCCCAUGCUCGAAUGCACCGCUUAAGAUGAUCCGGAGGAUGUGUCGGCCGUCGUGUUUCGCCGCUGUCCUUUGCAUGCUGUAAAGUAACACACCUAUUCAUCGCAGCACGAGCGCAACGUGAUACAUCGUGACAUCAUCCGGAAAACUUGCAGCUGGGGCACGGUGGUGAUCUGAAGAUUGCCGAUUUCGGUUGGUCCGUGCACGAGCCGACCUUGUUCCGGUACGACGCUGUGCGUUUCGCUCGGCUAUUUAUCGCCCGAGAUGGUGCAUGGUCAGCCGCACAUAAAAACUGUCGAUCUAUCGAAUUUGGGCGUGCUGGCGUACAAGCUGCUGUGCGGUAAGGUCCCGGUUUUGGCGACCACGUAUGAGGAAACGUACUAUAAAAUCAUGAAGCUGCAGUUUAAGAUGCCGCCAGAUAUGACGAAGCCGGCGGCCCAUCUGAUCUCGCGACUGUUCGUUAAGGAUCUGGCCAGCCGUAUGCCGCUGAAACAUGUUGCGUCCAUCCCUGGAUACUGGUGCACGUGCACAAAAAAUAAAUAGGAAUUGCUGCUACCAUGUACCAUUUAUCGUUUUGUUCUCACUAAGUAUGUUUA